CAGUCGCCGCGGAAAUACGUAGGUGGCAAGCGUUGUCCGGAAUUAUUGGGCGUAAAGGGCUCGCAGGCGGUUUCUUAAGUCUGAUGUGAAAGCCCCCGGCUCAACCGGGGAGGGUCAUUGGAAGCUGGGAAACUUGAGUGCAGAAGAGGAGAGUGGAAUUCCACGUGUAGCGGUGAAAUGCGUAGGGAUGUGGAGGAACACCAGUGGCGAAGGCGACUCUCUGGUCUGUAACUGACGCUGAGGAGCGAAAGCGUGGGGAGCGAACAGGAUUAGAUACCCCAGUAGUCCCUGUCUCUUAUAC
rnacentral:rRNA from 1 species